AUGGACUCUGUUUCAAGAUUUGCUCUUGUUAUUGUCAGCUCUUUUAUGGUUUUGAACAAACCUUUAAAUUUGUUGUCUUUGGUUCUUUAAAUCAGAUUAGAACACUUUGGCUUUGUGCCUCUUGAUUUGAAUGCAUUGUUAGAGUUUUGAUCUCAUGAUGGGUUAAAGUUACAUGAAAAACUUAACCAGUGUUCUUAAAAAGUUCUAGGAUUUGAAAAAAAAACACUUAAAUUGAGAUAAACAAAGUAAAGCUGCUUGUGCGUAGAACCCAUGGUUUCCCUUUUGGCACAUGAUUAAAUCCUCUUAGGCUGUUAAGAUUUCUGACCAAUUACAGUCAAAUUUCAAUCUGAAUAAUUGCAAUUAUUAACUUAUUUUAUGCAAUUUUUAUUUGUUCAAGAUAAUUACAUCAAACUUAGGCAUCUACAUCCCAUUGUGGAUUUCCAUAGCAGGUAUGUAAGCGAUUUUGUUGCUAACUUUGAGCUUUAAUAUUUUUGGACUUCAAUGGGGACUGCUAGAUGGAAUCUAACAUAAGUUUUCAUUUUUAAUGUUUUGAGGCAUGAGGAGUACUUUUAGAAUUGUGAUCAUGCACUUGAAUUUAUUGUCUAUAUGAAGAGGCAAUUUACCCAAUUCAAUUUCUUAAUGCUUUAGAAUUUAUGAAAAAGAAAAUUUUAAUGCUUUAAUACUUUUGACUUUUGUUGGAUUCACAAAAUCCUAUUGAUCACAGGCCUUGAAUUUUUUUGUAUAAGGUUUUCGUUGUAAUCGAUUUCUUGGCUUAGUUGGUUUGCAGCAGUUUUGUUACUUUUGGGAUUUAUGCAAAACCAAUCUUUUCUAUCCUGGUUUUCACAGCUUCAUUAAAAUAUGUAUUGUCAUUAUAUAUCAUUCUAUUUAUUUGUUUCUGCUAAUCUAGGCAGUGGCAACAGAAUGGCGGGAGGUGAAUGUGGUGACAGAUUACAUUCUAAAGGUAAUAACUGCAAAUUGUUGAAUUGAUUAUGAAAUUGUUUAGAAAUUAUCAUUAUAGUUCACUUUUAUUCAUUUUCCACAUUGUUUUCAGGUUUUGGGAUUGGACGUCUGUGCAGAUACCUUAGUUGGGAAUCAAAUGUUUAGGGGAAUAUAUCUGGAGGGCAAAGGAAACGAGUUACAACUGGUAAAGUCAAAUUUGUAGUUCAUAUAUACAGAAUCAUAUUCUCUCUACAUCUGUAUCAAUAAUAUCUAAUACUAAAAUUAUAGGUUAGAUGUUGGUCGGACCAUCUGUAGUGUCAUUCAUGGAUGAAAUAUCUACUGGUUUGGAUAGCUCAACAACUUUUCAGAUUGUGAAAUCAAUCAAGCAAUAUGUUCACAUUUUCAAUGGAACUGCUGUCAUUUCCCUCCUCCAGCCAGCACUAGAGACUUAUAAUCUUUUUUAUGACAUUAUUCUCAUCUCUGAUGGCCAGAUUGUAUACCAGGGUUCCCGUGAACAAGUGCUUGAAUUUUUUGAAUCAAUGGGCUUUAAAUGUCCUGAGAGGAAAGGGGUGGCAGACUUCCUGCAAGAAGUGAGUUUGAAUAAAGGUUUAUUUUUUGGUCUCAUAUAUAAUAGUAUUAUUAUCUUCUAAAGAGGUAAGCAUUACAAGUAGAAUCUCAUAUUUGGAUUCAUUUAUAACCAAUUUAUAGGUGACUUUAAGGAAAGAUCAGGAGCAGUACUGGGCACAAAAAGACAAGCCCUACAAUUUUGUAACAGUAAACGAAUUUGCUAAGGCAUUCCAAUUUUUCCAUGUGGGACGGAAACUCGGAGAUGAACUUGCAACUCAGUUUGACAAGGCUAAAAGCCAUCCAGCUGCUUUGACAACAAGAAAGUAUGGUGUCAAAAAGGCAGAGCUGGUGAAAGCUUGCUUGUCAAGAGAAUUUUUGCUCAUGAAUAGGAAUUUGUUUGUCUACAUCUUCAAGUUCGUUCAAGUAAGAUGAGCUUUAUAGUAUUUUUUAAAACUUUCUUUUUUAUAUCAAAUUUCAUUAUACCCAUAUAUGAGUAAUAUAAACUUUUUCUUUUGUUUUCUUCUUUUAGCUUACAAUAAUGGCAAUGAUUGUUAUGACAACUUUCCUACAGACUGAUACUGAUAUGCACCAAAAUUCAGUAACUGAUAUCCAUGACCGUUGCAAAGCUUCCUAUUUUCUUCAAGCAAAGGAAGCUCCUAUUCUAUCCUCCAUGGGCAUAUUCUCUUCCUGCAUGGAUCAUCAAGAUUCCAAUCACGUUUGUAGAAGUUGUUGUAUGGGUAUUCAUCACUUACUAUGUCAUUGGCUUUGAUCCAAGUAUUGGAAGGUAAAAGAUAGAAUGAAUAAAUAAAAUCAUGCUACUUUUUUGUCAACAUACAAAGAUAUGUUUCACUUUUUCUUUUUCCUUUUUUUCUUUUUCUAAUUCAAAUUAUAUAUUUUCUCAUGUUCAUAUUGCAGGUUUUUUAGGCAGUACCUUCUGCUUUUACUUCUUAACCAGAUGGGUUCUGCAUUAUUUCGCUUUAUUGGGGCAAUUGGUAGGGGGGACUUGAUUCUUGCCAACACAUUUGGAUCAUUUGCACUGGUCAUGCUGUUUGCUUUGGGUGGCUUUGUCCUGUCAAGAGGUAUAAUUUAAUAAGUGGUUUUUUUUUUAUAAUUGGGAAAAAUCUUUUCUAUUACUUCUUAUUUGAUUGUGUCCUCCCACAAAGAACAUAAAGAAAUGGUGGAUAUGGGGUUACUGGAUGUAAACUACACAUCUAGCCUACUGUAUUUGCUGCAAAAUGCGAUUUUGGGUGUUGGUCCAUUUCUUGAAGAUAGUGCAUGGGGUUGUCUUGAUCUAACUCAUUGUAAAGGUCAAAACCUUAAGUUCAUGAAUUGCACUUCAUAAGUCGCAAAAAACAAAAUAUAUUUUUAUCAUUGUCGUAUAACUCACUCAUUCAUGGCUGAUUAUAAUUUAAAAUGCAGUUUCCUUCAUACUGAUGAUCCAUUAUCAACACAUGGCCACAUAUACAUGGCUGUGGAACUUGACUAAUUGAUAAUAAUUGUGUCUUUCUAAUUGUUUUUACGAUAAACUUUUGAUGCCAUUUUUUGAUAUUUGGUUGUGUUAUGAUUGGACUAAUUGUUCUAAUAGUUGGUGCGUGUUAACAAUUAAUUGAUUAGCUUUCUACAACAUGUGAGAGUUGGUCAUGGUAUUAUUAGAAGGGAAAAAGAAAUUUAAAAAGUAGAUCAUAUAAAGUGCGAUUGACAGAUUUGCUUGAAAACAUUAAUUCUUUGUAGUUGUAGUUCUUUUAUUGACAAACUAUGGUUUCAAAUUAAAAUUUCAGUUUUGAUUAAGGCAAAGAGGAAGAUGUUGUUUUUAAUAGUAGGCCAUUUAGCAUUUAGCAUGAAUUCUAGAUAAGCAUUGUUUAAAAUAUAUACCUUUCUAAAUUAGAAAUACCUAGAAUUUACAGUCAACAAAAAAGAAACUGCAACACUUCUCUACUUUUAUUUUCAUAAGGAGUGAAUAAGGUGAAUUACAUUUGGUCACAUGUAUCUGGAAGUAUACUAGAAAUAUUAAAAUGAUAUAAAUUCUUAUAUCAUUCAUUUAUUCUUGCAUUACAUUUGUUUUUUUUUUUCCUUCUUUAUUUAUUGGUAAAUUUAGGGGUCCAAAAUUGAGGUAGAUUUCAUGUAUAGGUUUUUAGUUUUGAUAUAAGGCUCACUGCCCAAUUAAGAUCUCAAAAGUGGGUUUGGAUUUUGGGUUUUGGUAGUGUUAACUUCUUUGCUUAAUAUGUUUUUGCUUAAUGGAAUUCAAUAGUUUGACAAGUGAAAGUUUCUUCAUAUGCCACAUGUCCUAAUUGUUCCAGUUCUUCAAAGAGUUGACUUCCUUAAAAGUGAGUUUGUAUUUUUGGUUUUAGUUUUGUGGUUUUUGUCAUUUUUUUUUAAUACAACAUUUCUUAUUUAGUGUUUUUAUUAUUGCAUGGGUUUGAACAUGCGAAAUGAGAUUAUUGUAAUUGCAUAUAAUUUAAAUAUGUAUCAUAAUAUAUAUAUAUAUAUAUAUAAUAUAUAUAUAUAUAUAUUUUUUUUUUUUGUAAAACUUUUCCGUGCAUCGCACGGGUUAGCGACUAGUAUAUAUAUAUAAUCGAAACCUCUAAGGCUUCCUUCAACUAAAAUUCUAUAACAAAAAUUUCAACAAAUAUAAACCCCUACUCUUUUUAUUUAAGUAUUUUUUUUACGUAUUAUAUAUAUAUAUAUAUAUAUAUAUAUUUUUUUUUUUGAGAAACUUUCACGUAUUAUAUAUAUAUAUGUAUAUAAAAUUGAAAUUUUUGAAUCUUCCACAAUUUUUAACGUCAGUAAUUAAUUUUUUUUAAAAUAUAUUUUUAUUUUAUUUUAUUAAGUUGUUUACUUAUUAACCCGAUAGACUACCCUCACCCGUUAAACUCUCUCUCCUUCUUUGCCUUUUUCGUUCUCUCUGCUCUCUCAAUUCUCAAACCCCUAAACUAUAGUCCACAGGCACCGGCCUCCUACUCCUUAAUUGCAGAAAGUUUUUGAUUUUGAGACAUUUCCAUCAGACCGGAUUCUCUCCACAAACAUUACUGGUAAGUUUUUUAUUUUGUUCUAUAAUUUUGGUUGUUAAAUAUGAUUUAGGGUUUCGUUUGGGAGUGUUUCUUUUGAAUGAUUAGCUUAGAUUGAUGGGUUUGGAGCCACCUUUUUCCUUUCUCACUAAAACAAAAUGUAAAUUUUGUUGGCACAUAUAUAUUGAGAUCAAAUUGUCAAUGGCUAAGUCAGACCAUUAUGUAUAAAAUUUUAUCCUUCAAAAUAGUCAACAUGCAUCAUUAAGUUUACUUCCAAUCAACAAAAAUGUUCAUACAUACUUCUAUUAAUGUUGCUUGAAUGUCAGCUGAAAAUCGGAUUCUUACUAUUUUGCAGGUAGGGAUUUGGCAUUUUGUUAUCUGAGUUAUUUAGUAAUACAACUACAAGACGAGCACAGUCAGGUAUUUACCAAUCUUUCCUUUACUCUGUACUUUUUUUGCAUAUUUAUUGGUAAUAUGCUUCUUUACUGAAAAUCCAAACUCUUUUAUCAUAAUAGCUACAUGUUUAACUGUCAAGACUUUUAAAGUCAAGUUCAUUUCUCUUUUCUAUUUCUCUUUAUAAGUAAUUAUGGAUAGUUUAACAAUUUAGCCUUUAGACGAGUUUGUAUGCGGUUCCCUUUAGAGUAAUAAAUAGAUGAUGGCUUUGGGAAUUUACUUUUUCAACCAAUUUUAACCAUUAAAGACAAAUAUUAGAUGGUUGAGAUGGUGUGACAAUCCAUGAGUAUACAUAUACUAUGUCCUCCUCCUCUCAAGUUCUCACAUAAGAAUGAGCUGGAUCCCUGUACAUAGAGCCCACCCUUAUGUGAAAUGAGAGAGAUGUACUACAAUGGCAGUUGGAUAUGACCAGACCAGAACAGCUUCAAUUGACCAUUGAUUGGAUUGAAUUAUAACAUGUGGAAAACCUUACAGGAAAAGCAUGGCUGAUUAGAGUUCAUGCAUAUAAGACCUGAUAGGAUUGGCUUUUAACAUCCAUCAAGUAAAAACCUUGGUAAAAAUCUUGGCAAAUAAGAAGCAAGGUUGAUGAGAGUUUUGAACUGCCACUUGCACACCAUAGAAUAUUCAAAAUAAUAUCUACUAAAUGGUAUCCAACAUGCUGAAAUUAUUAUUUUUGUAAAUGAGAUUAAGGAAAGCAAUGGGGUUCAAUUAAACCAGGAGUUAAAAAAGGAAAAGGGUGUUGAGCCAUUCAAUUACUUAUUUGAUACUGUUUCGACAUUGGUCUACAUAUUUGAGUGACUAACUCGAACUUGAACUUGAUGCCAUGAGGUGUUCAAUAUCCCUCUCAAGUUCCAAAUGUCUUCAACCUUUUCAGGCUGGACAUUUGAUGUUAUAUCCACCUGCCAAUCACUGCAAAUAUGGCCCUUGAAAUUGGAUAUGCAAAUUCAAGUCACCUUUUGGUCCUAGAGGUGCUAGGUCCUGUUGGAUUCAUAUGUUAUUUGUACUGCUCAUUUUGCAUCUAUAUUAUUGGUACUUUGAACUUUUCAUAAAUGAUGUACAUUUCAAACUUGUGAGAGAUAUAUAGGAAAAGUAAGGUUGAUUAUGGUCAUGUUAGAUAUGAUUAUAAUGUAAGAUUGUUGAAGUACUGUUAAGUGAUUUUGAAGCAAACAUCAUAUUCAAAUGGAGUCAGUAAGUCACUAUCCCAUAGAUAAUUGUACUUUUUUUUAAUGAAUUCCAUGCAUUGCAGGAGAGUAUAACUUAUCGUCAACAAGUGGAACAAGAGUUUAUAUUGAUUUGGAAAUUCCUGAGACUGCUAAUUUCAAAGAUCAGUAAGUGCUUUAUUUUGGAUUCACAUUUUUAAUGUAUUUAUAUUAAAAUACACAAAAACUAAUAAGAUAUUAACAUUAUAUAUGUCAUUUCUCUUAUCAGGUAUAGAAUUCAAUUAAAGGUUGAAGAUAGCUCAAAAAUGACCAUAUUCAUUUUAAUUUAAACUUAAGUUUGAUUUCCAUUUUUCAUUACAUAAUUUAUUGUUUCAUAUCAAGGAUAGGAAACUAUGAGACUGGAAUCCUAAUGUACAAUCAAAGAGGAAGAGAAAAAGAAAAGUUUACAUUUUUAUACACAAUAACUCUCCCGUGCAUCGCACGGGUCUCUGAAACUCCCACAAUUUUCCACAUCAGCACAAUAUUAAAAAAAAAAAAAAACAUAAACCCAAAAGAAAAAAAAAAAAAAACUAUUUCUAAAACUAUUAUAUAUAUAUAUAUAUAUAUAUAAAGAAGCGUUGGUUAAAGAUCCAUAUCAUAAAAGUUCUAUGAUUAAAACUCUACUUCCUACAAGUCUACAAUACCAAAUCAAAGCCAACUCUAUGCUAUUUUAAUUUAAUGUUUAAUUAAAAUUUUAAGGAAGUUUAAGGAAAUAGGUUUAUGAAGUAUUUCAUUUUAACACAUUGUGGACACUUGAUAAUAAAAGUACAAAGAGUUUGUUUAAUGUACGGAACAACAAAGACAAGGAUCAUGGUUGGACGUUAAUACUAUAUGUAAAGGUUUGUUUAAGAUAAAAGAAUCUGAGAAUCAAAAUCACCUUUUCUUGUAGCAAUUUCCUCACCUCAGAUGCGGAAUCUUCAUCGUCAUCGUCUAGCUUUCAAAAUAAAUGGAAGAAGGAAUGAUCCUACCAAAUAUUAUAAUUAAUUAAAGAAAAAAAAACCCCUAACGUAAGUUAGACUUUUAGCCAAAUACAAUAACAAUCUCCCACCAUCUUUACUCUCUUCUAUUUAAGAACUACUCUCCCUCUUUUCUUAGUCUCUUCAAAACUGUAAACCAAAAACUAUUUGUGUAGAAUACCUAAAACCCAAAACACAAACGUGUUAACCAAUAACUAUUUUUGGAGAAGAUGAUGUUUGAUCAUAAGUAGAUGCUCUUAGUCUCUUCAAAACUAUAAACCAAAAGCAACAAUUGAUGAUCCAAUUCAUGGUUCAUGAUCCCAACAUGAUAAACUCCUUUAGAGCUAACUUCAUGUAAGAUCAGGAAACAAAUUAAGAAAGAACAAUUCUUUUUAGUUCAUAGGUUUUAAUAAGACCACAUGCAGUUACAAUUUUUAUUGCUUUAGGUUUAGGAUUUGCUUAAUUACAAAUUUAAGAUUUUGAUCAUGUGCUAUCUAAUAUUAGUUGUGGGUGUUUUUGGAUCUAUCACAUGACGAAUCUUUGUAGUUCAUAGGUGUUUAUGGCUAAUAAGACUAUAUGCAAUUCCAAUUUUUAUUUCUUUGGUUUUAAGAUUGUUUAUAAAUUUAAGUUUUUUAAUCAUGUGCUAUCCAAUGUUAGUUGUGGGUGCUUUUACAUCUAUCAAACUUCAAUUUUUGGUUGGAUUUAUAACAAUAUAGUCACAUAUUAUUUUGUUUUGUUUCUAUAAUUUAUAGCCAUGGAUUAUUUUUUAUAAGGUAACCCAUCUUUUUCUAAUAUUUAUCUGUUGUGUAGUUAUACAUACAUUUUAUUUGGUUUCAAUAAUUUCUAAAUAAUAAAUCUCCUGAUUCUUUAAUAUUUGUUGACAUUUUAGAAGUUUUAACAUAUGAAUUUUUGAGAUAUUAUUAUUUUACAAUAUUGAAACUAUUUGACAGAUUUCCACAACUAUAAUGAUGAAUUAUAUCUUUUAAAGGUAACACUAUAGUCACAUUUUUUUUAUAUUGUUUCUAUAAUUUGUAGGUUUCGAUCAUUUUGAUUCUUUAAUUUUUUGCCUUUUUGGAAGUUUUAACAUAAAGGACUAAAGUAAUUUAUGUGAUGGAAUAGUUUCAUAAUCAAUUUAGGAUUUUAUAAAAAUUAUUUUAGUUUGCUACACAAAUAGGUAGGUUCUCGUACGUAGCACGGGCUUGUGACUAGUUAAUAAUAAUAAUAAUAAUAAUAAUAAUAUACUAUAUUAACAGUAAAAAAUUUCCAAAGAUGAAAAAUUAAUAUUUUAAAUUAAUAAAUUUUUUAUCUAUCCAGCAUAACAAAAAAUUCUUACUCGUUUUAUUUGAUAAGAAUUGGUUUUUUACAAUUUUACUAUACUUUGGAUGUUUCUAACAUGCAAAUAACAAACUUAAAAUAAAGUAAAUCCAUAUCAAAAUUCUAAAGGUAAAAUAUAAUUUUCGUCCCUAAACUUUCACAAAAAUAUGUUUAUUGUCCCUAAAUUUUUGAAUGUUUAUUUUUUGUUCCUAAACUUUGCAAAAGGUUCUACUUUUUGCCCUUCUACUUAUAUCUUUUAGAUUAUGUCCUAACAAAAUGCUGACGUGGUAUGUGACUUGGAUUAAAUUAUUUUACUUAAAAAAUUUUGACAUGUGGCUAACAAUGAUUUGUACACACGAAAACCAUUUUUAAAAGUACAAAAAUACCCCCUCACUCCAUCUCUUUGACACAACCUGACAGGAACACAAACACAACCCAUCGGCAACCCCAGCAUUCAAACCCACUGACGACCCUAAUUAUCAAAUCCACGAAGAACCCAAUUGCACCAUCACUCUCCACAACCAAACCAUGUUCACAGACUCACCAGCCCAUAAAAAAAUCCAAACCCAUAAAUCCAAACAAAGACCAAACCUUUCUACGGAAAACAAACACAACAAACCCAUAUGCGACCCCAAAUCGGUCCUCUUCAGUACUCUGGUGUUGUUCACUCCCAACUUGUCUCCCUAACCCACCUUCAAUACGGCGGCGUUUUCUCAACAUGGGUAUUUUAUCAAUGAAAUCUAGGAUGUGUUCUUGACCUCAAGCCGAGGUUUGUGAAGUUGGGUAUCAAUUGAAAGAAGUCUUUCGUUGAAUGGUUGGGCCUACAGGUUUGUUGUGUUUGUUUCCAGUGGAAGUUUUGGCCGAUUAGGAAGUGAAGGGUAGAGAGAACUUUGAUUGGGUGAGAUUGAGACGAAUAAAUUUGAUUUGGGUGGUUUUGUUGUGUUUGGAUUUAUGGGUUUGGGUUUUUUGGUAGGGUGGUGGGUUUGUGAGCGUGGUUUGGUUGUGGAGAGUGGUGGUGCGAUUGGGUUGCUGGUGGGUCUGGAGUUUCAAGUUUGGGUAUGGAAAUUUCUAAUCGGGUUGUGUCAAAGAGAGAGAGUGAGGAUUGUUUUUGUACUUUUUAAAAAUGGUUGUCAUGUGUGUGAAUCAUUGCUAGCCACAUGUCAAUUUUUUUAAAGUAAAAUAAUUUAGUGCAAGUUACAUACCAUGUCAGCAUUCCAUUAGGCCCCACAUAGAUAAUAAACUAACUGAUAUAAACAUCAAGUUGAAAAGUAGAAGGUUUUGCAAAGUUUAGGAAUUGAACUUUUGAAAGUUAGGGACGAAAAAUGAACUUUUGUGAAAGUUUAGGGACGAAAAUGAUAUUUUACCUAAAUUCUAAUAACAAUUUUUUUUUUAAUGAGAAAGAUAAAUGUUUUUUUUUUCAUACAUAUGCUUUACAUCAAUAUGCAUAUGUGUUAACAACAAAUUUGGUACAUCCUUAAGCCUAUAGAAAUGCUAGUAUAGGUAUCCUAUAGUGGCGUUUUCAAAAAUGCUACUAUAAGUAUUCAAUAGCCGUGUUCCCAAGGGCUUAUAAAGAGCCACAAUAUGUCCAGCCCCAAAAGAAGAAGAAGAAGAAAAAAAAACCAUGGCAAGGCUUCAAAAGCGUCGCAAUAAGUCCAACAUUGAAAAAAAAAUUUGAAAGAAGGACCUAUAGCAACGCUUGAAAUGCCGCAAUAGAUCCUGAUAUUUAAAACCUAUAUCCCGAUAUUCUCACUCUCUCAAACUCCCACCCCUCACCUCCCUAUGCCGUCGAUGCUGAUAUCCUCAUGCCGACAUCGAGGUCCUUUCUGUUACCACAAAGCCCACCGAUCUCUUCUCCACCGAAGCUACUAAUCUCCUUACACGAUUCCUCAUCAUCGAUCUCUCACUCUCCUCACCGCCGAUCUCUCUUCCGCUGACGCCGGUUGCCAAGUACUCUUCUCUUACCUGAUCUCUUAUCCCCUUCUCCUUUCCGUUUCCUUUCCCCCUAAUCGAUCUCUUCUCCACCUCUCUCUACCUAUCUCUAGUUGGUGGUGAUUUUUUUUUUUUUUGGGUUUAGUUUGAAGUUUAGUUUAUGUUGUGUUAGGUAUAUGUAUAUGGUUGUGAGUUCAUAUUGAGGCUUGCAGUUCCUAUUGUGGUUGAAGUUAUGUUUGUGAGUUCAUUUUGAGGUUUGCAGUUUGCAUUGUGGUUGAAGUUGUGUUUUUUUUAUUCGUUGUUCCAACGGAUGAAAGAAUAUGGUGAGAUAUGUUUUUAUUUUUAUUUUUUAUUUUUGUAACAAGAGGUGUUUUGCAGCAUUUUUAAAAACGCCAUCAAAAACUAUAGAAGGGCAACUAUAGGUCAAACAUCAUAUUAUUUCAAUAAUUAUUUGUGGAAAAAAAAUUGUCAUAAUGUUCGAUGAAAGUCAAUGUUGUUAGAAAGAUAGUACUAUUGACAUUUCUAACCUCGUUGUUUUAUGUCAACGGUUUAAACUAUUAGACUAAUGUAUUAAUACCAAAUUAGCUUUUGCAAAGGAAGCUAACUCGCUUGGGAGAAGUUUGGAUUUCUUAUAACAAGGUUGGUGAUCAAUAUAGCAUAGUAAGAACUUUCGAACUAAAUAAUUUUAUAGCAUAGUAAGUACUUUCGAACUAAAUAAUUUUCCAAGUCUACAAGAUUAAUUAGAUGUUAAAUUUCUUCUUUGCAAUGGAUUGUUGAGUUGAUGCAAGCAGGUGGCUUGUGCUAUGAAGCACGGGUGCGUUUCGGAACUCGGGUGCGGGUGCGGGUACGGGUGCGAAACUCGGCAAUUUUUUAAAAAAGUGGGUGCGGGUGCGGCAGGACUCAGCGAUUAAAAAAUUAUUAAAAAUAUUUUUAUUUAUAUAUUUUAUAUAUUGCUAAGCAUUUUUUUAUAUAAUAAUAAUAAUAGAGAACUUAUAUAUAAUAAUAAUAAUAAUAAUAAUAAUAAUAAUAAUAAUGUACUGUACAAAAUAAAACCUCACUAACCAAAAGCUUAUUAGUGGCUCAGUGGAUCAUGUACCAGUUCAAUGGCUCAAUAUUAAAAAAAAAAAAAAAAAAAAAAAAAAGGAAAAAAUGUGGCUCACGUGAGAGGUAGUGAGGCACAACAAACAAAAUAAAGCACCAUUGACCAAACGCAUUUAACCAUUCUUUUCCAAAAAAAAAAAAAAAACUGAUAAAGAAAAAAAGAAACAGAAGAACAAGUGAACAACGCUGGGCUCGCGAAAGAAAAAGGAGGAAGAAGACGAUCCGGUUCAGCGCGAAUCAGCAUGCGUCGAAGCCGAGUCGGCGCGAGUCUGGCGCUCCACGUGGCAGGACGCGCGGUCUGCAGCGUCCCUCCCGCGUCGCUGCGUCCCGCCGAGUCCGACACGGGUGCGGCUCCUCCGGAGCCACGUCGGUGCUUUCCAGGGCUUGUGUGGUAAUAUAAGGUGGUUUCCUUUGGAUAUUUGGAGUGUUUAAUGCGUUGUGUGUAUUGUGCUUAUUUGGAUUUCUAUGUUUAACUAGAUUAUUGUGAGCCAUUGAUUUGCAUCAAAAUACUAAUAUAUUCAAAUUCUGGAAUAGAGGUAUUCAUUUAACAUUACUAUUCAUUGUUUUUAAAAAAAAUUCACAAUAGCCUUCUUACUUCCUUUGUAUGCAAUUGUUGAUCUAUAAUUACUAAUUUACUAUUAUGCUUGUGCUGUUAAGAUAUUACAUGCAGGAAUGCUUAG
rnacentral:sRNA from 1 species